rnacentral:tRNA from 1 species
GGCAUGGUGGCAUAGUGGUUAGCACUGUUGCCUCGCAAAAAAUAGGCUCCGGGUUCAAAUCCGGGUCCAACCA